UUUCAAACUUAUAAACCAUGAAAUAGCUUAUUGAAAAUUAUAAAUAAUUUUGACCUCAACAAUCUGUAAAAUUAGAGACCUAUGUGGGAACAAUUAAAAACAGCAAAGGAAUGGUAAAUACACAAAACUAAUAGUUAGGGGUGGCAGAUUGUUAAAUCAAAUUAUAUGGCAACAACCUAAAGAAAUUUUGUCGGCACUUGGAAUUUAUGCACGCGUACUUCUGCCAUUCCCACAUUGUGAAAACUAUGACACUGAAUUUCAAAAUUAAACUUACCUCACAGAAGAAUUCAUUGCCGCGCAGCCCACAAAACCAUGUUACCCAGGAGACUUCUUCGGAACUGCUCAUUUUUCUGUAAAAAAAAAAA